ACGUAGGGUGCGAGCGUUAAUCGGAAUUACUGGGCGUAAAGCGUGCGCAGGCGGUUCGCUAAGACAGGUGUGAAAUCCCCGGGCUUAACCUGGGAAUGGCACUUGAGACCGGCGAGCUGGAGUACGGCAGAGGGGAGUGGAAUUCCACGUGUAGCAGUGAAAUGCGUAGAGAUGUGGAGGAACACCGAUGGCGAAGGCAACUGCCUGGGCCGAUACUGACGCUGAUGCACGAAAGCGUGGGGAGCAAACAG
rnacentral:rRNA from 1 species